GAUGAACGCUGGCGGCGUGCCUAAUACAUGCAAGUCGAGCGAACGGACGAGAAGCUUGCUUUUCUGAUGUUAGCGGCGGACGGGUGAGUAACACGUGGAUAACCUACCUAUAAGACUGGGAUAACUUCGGGAAACCGGAGCUAAUACCGGAUAAUAUUUUGAACCGCAUGGUUCAAAAGUGAAAGACGGUCUUGCUGUCACUUAUAGAUGGGUCCGCGCUGCAUUAGCUAGUUGGUAAGGUAACGGCUUACCAAGGCAACGAUGCAUAGCCGACCUGAGAGGGUGAUCGGCCACACUGGAACUGAGACACGGUCCAGACUCCUACGGGAGGCAGCAGUAGGGAAUCUUCCGCAAUGGGCGAAAGCCUGACGGAGCAACGCCGCGUGAGUGAUGAAGGUCUUCGGAUCGUAAAACUCUGUUAUUAGGGAAGAACAUAUGUGUAAGUAACUGCGCACAUCUUGACGGUACCUAAUCAGAAAGCCACGGCUAACUACGUG
rnacentral:rRNA from 1 species